rnacentral:rRNA from 1 species
GACGUAGGGCGCGAGCGUUUGUCCGGAUUUAUUGGGCGUAAAGAGCUCGUAGGCGGUGUGUCGCGUCGGCCGUGAAAACCUGCAGCUUAACUGUGGGCUUGCGGUCGAUACGGGCAUCACUGGAGUUCGGCAGGGGAGACUGGAAUUCCUGGUGUAGCGGUGAAAUGCGCAGAUAUCAGGAGGAACACCGGUGGGCAAAGGCGGGUCUCUGGGCCGA